AUUGAACGCUGGCGGAAUGCUUUACACAUGCAAGUCGAACGGUAGAGGGGCAACCCUUGAGAGCGGCGAACGGGUGAGUAAUGUAUCGGAACGUGCCCAGUCGUGGGGGAUAACGUAGCGAAAGUUACGCUAAUACCGCAUACGAUCUAAGGAUGAAAGCGGGGGAUCGCAAGACCUAGCGCGAUUGGAGCGGCCGAUAACAGAUUAGGUAGUUGGUGAGGUAAAGGCUCACCAAGCCGACGAUCUGUAGCUGGUCUGACAGGACGACCAGCCACACUGGGACUGAGACACGGCCCAGACUCCUACGGGAGGCAGCAGUGGGGAAUUUUGGACAAUGGGCGAAAGCCUGAUCCAGCAAUGCCGCGUGCAGGAAGAAGGCCUUCGGGUUGUAAACUGCUUUUGUACGGAACGAAACGGUCCUGGUUAAUACCCGGGGCUAAUGACGGUACCGUAAGAAUAAGCACCGGCUAACUACGUGCCAGCCGCCGCCGUAAGAC
rnacentral:rRNA from 1 species